rnacentral:lncRNA from 1 species
GGUAAUCAUUAAGCGAGGCGCCACUGUACCUUGUCCAGAGUUCCCUUGGACUUCCACCUGGAACUACAGGGUUGCUCUUCUUUCAGCCUUAUCAUAUGGUAAAUCUCUGAACCGUGCAUCACACAUUUCCCCCCCAUCACCACUAUCACUAGUUAGAGAUGGCAAGGCAACAACAGUUAAAGAGAAUGUAUAAACGUCUGAACUCUCUGGACCUUACUUUUCCUGUCAUGGAAGAAGAAGAAAAGAAUGUGCCUGUCAUCACAUUAUUACUGUCUGGCUGUUAGAUUCCUCUUUCCUGCUGACUGGAACUGGAACAGUGAUUUACCUUACAAAGCCAUUGACUUCUGUUUCCUGCCGGCAUGUACACAACAGACCAAAUCCGCCGAUAAGGUACUGAACAGAAACAACAUCUGUCUACCCGAGGGCAACCGUUACAUGCUCCAUGAGUGCUGCAACAAGCUUUAGGAAUCGUCUUCUGCAUACGCUUGGGAAUGUGCUUGUCUGUCUUUUCAUUCUCCUUUCUAAGCAAGCUCUUUCUCAGCUGUAAUUUUCUCUUAAGCAGCACUUCCCUAUUCUCUGAGACAACAAUCAUGAAGUAUUUAAAUUCCAAUUGAGUAGUCCUGUAGGAGAGGAAGCCUGCAGCCAGAGCAGGGAGGACAAUAGGAGACUUGGCCAAGGGACAUUAGUUCAAACUCCCCCUCCCUGAUCCCCAGGAAGGGACAUAGCAAGCUUCUCUCUCUCCUUCUCAUCUCCCUAGAAAUGUAAAUCAAGAAGACGGAGGGAGGAGGGGUUAACGCCAAGGAAAAUAGAUUGAGUUGUGUUACCAUCUAAAACAGGGAUUGACUAUACAAGAGGCCUAUUGAAUAGCUGUGAAAUUUGGAUUUGAACCAUCAGAAAGCUAUUGGAAUUCACAGGGACUGGGUUGAUUAUCUCUUGCAGAGAGUGGUGCAUGGACUACACUGCUGAUAUAUCAGAUUCUUUCCCAAAGGUUUUUUUUUUUAAAUAAAGGAGUCUGGGAAACUGAAAUAAAGGCA